rnacentral:ncRNA from 1 species
AGUCGAUGAUUAAUGCUUAGUGAAUACAUAGCUAAGUAUUGGCAGACGUGGGGAACUGAAACAUCUAAGUACCCACAGGAAGAGAAAGCAAUUGCGAUUCCCAUAGUAGCGGCGAGCGAAGUGGGAACAGCCCAAACCAGGAAGCUUGCUUCCUGGGGUUGUAGGACUGAACAUUUGAGUUACCAAAGCAAUGAAUAGUCGAACGGUUUGGGAAGACCGGCCAUAGCGGGUGAUAGCCCCGUAGACGAAAUU